rnacentral:lncRNA from 1 species
CGCCUCCGCCGCCGCAGCAGCAGCCGCAGCAAACGCCGAGAAAUUCCGCCGGAAUGAUACCUCGUCUCUUUUCACCAUUGCCGGACGUUUUUGUGUUCCGGAUCGGGGACCGACCGGAUGAGAGAUUAUCCACGCCGGCGGUGACGGUGGAGAAGGUGGAGAUUGAGGAGGUGGACGUUUCACGACGGUUGGAGUAGACCGUACAUUCACCGGCGAGGAGAGUUUUUUGACCGGAAAAGUAUCGCCGAUGAGAACGUCGAGACGAGUGAAAAACGGCCAGGGACUCUGGUAACCGCCGUCGGAUUCGGAAACCCUAGCUUUCUCGAUCUUGUACUUCUUCUUCAACGUGUCGAUUCGGUUUUUGCACUGAACGUCGGUACGUCGAGCUUUCCUGUUACCGGCGGCGUGGAAGUCGUUGACGGCGUCGGCGACCUCUUGCCAAGUUUUCUGACGGAGGUUACCGCGGUUGAGGUCGAGGUAGCGUUCACCCCAGGCGUCGAUGAGGGUGGAAGUUGCGUCUUCGGUCCAGCAGUCUUCGCGGCCGGAGUACGGCGAUGACAACGGAAGACGCGGCGGAACGGAGUGGAUUGGUGACGGAGCUCCGGCG